rnacentral:lncRNA from 1 species
GCUCCGUUAGAAAGUUCCACCUACAACCUCAGGUCCUCAGACUGACAAGCCCAAGAAACAUCUCACCAAUUUCAAAUCCGCCUAGGCUACAGAAUGAGAUGCACGUAAGAAGUCUGUGACCUGGACCAGAGCAGCCCAGCUGAACACAUGCUGGAUUGGAAGAACCACCUUUGACCUGAAGACCUUGAGAAAGGAGUUUGGAGACAGAAAGACGGAAGAGUUGAUAUUCCGCUCACAGAUGUCAAUUUUCAAAGAAAUUUCUGCCCAUUAUGGAUGCACCACAAAUACUAAAGUCUAUGCAAUAUAUAUUUUGAAAAGAAUUUUUUUCGUGAAACUGUAAUUUUCGUUCAUAAGAGUAUAUUUCCUGACUUAGCAUUUUAUUGACUAGAUUAAAAUUUUGUUCCCCAAAGUAA